GUAGAGGGUGUGCGAGUUGCGUGGGGAAGACUGAGGGUGCUGGGGUUGUGCGGGUUUAUUGGGGUUAAAGGGUCCGGAGGCGGACUUAUAAGUCAGUGGUGAAAGCCUGGCGCUUAACGAUAGAACUGCCAUUGAUACUGUAAGUCGUGAGUAGAAUUGAGGUAGGUGUAAUAAGUAGUGUAGCGUUGAAAUGCAUAGAGAUUACUUAGAACACCAAUUGGGAAGGCAGGUUACCAAGUUAUAACUGACGCUGAGGGACGAAAGCGUGGGGAGCGAACAGGAUUAGAUACCCGUGUAGUC
rnacentral:rRNA from 1 species